rnacentral:lncRNA from 1 species
AUGUUCCGCUUUCUUCCUCGUUCUCUUCUGUUUUUCCGUAGUAAAUGCAUGUGCUUCCUCUUCAGGGGAAGGAAAUACUGCAAAAAAAAAAGAAGCAUCUCAGAUGUGGGAUCUUUAAGACGUGUGUUCUGCCUGUUGAGCAGGUGCUUGGGGUUUGCUGGACCGAUGAAGUGUGGUCAGUUUCUGCAAGGGUCUGGACUUGUUUCCCGCAGCCCUGGCAGUGGCCGUGUGGUGGCUGAGCAGACAGAACCAACGCCCGUGGGUGUUUGGCCAGCUGGCCCUGGCCUCCCACUAGGCCGUCAAAGACGCCUUCUGGAACUGGCGGCCACCUUGGCCCACUCGUUAUCCAGCAGGAUAAUAAAUGCAGACAGCAGAGCAAUGGAGCCUGGUGGGAUUUACCGGAGCAGCCUGGCUCCCUCUGCGACCCUCCCUCCAGAACAGCGGCCCUGUGACUCCGGGAGGGCGCAGCUCACCAGAGAACAACACGAUGCUGAGACCCGGGUACUGUUUGUCACCGCAGCACACAGACUGGUAAGUAAAUAUUAUGUUUGUAACUCGGAGCGAAGAGUGGUGAGGUCACGUAGCUUGCUCUUGCUGCACGAGUCAGUGUCAGGCUGGCACAGACGCUUUAAAUGUCCACUCUUUGGGAAACUGAGAUUUUGCUAGAACCUCAUGCUUUCCUCAUGCGGAGCGUCACAGCCAGUAGUUGACUUGUGCCAACAACAUCCUGUCCUCAGAACCUAGGUUCUUGCCUUUUUCACCCUGAAGGUGGGCAGCUCAGCCUGCUUUCUUUAACCCCGAGAGCUCAGGCGUCUGUUCGACAUGGAGCUUGUGAGUCUCUGGGUGUCGCGCAGAAUGUUCAUCUCAAGAGAUUCUGCCUGUCGAUGGUUAGAAUCAUUUGGAAAUUAAUCAUGUGAGCAUAAGUACACAGAUUCCAAAACUUUUGUUAUCACCUUGUGUUGGCUCUUAGAAAAGAGCCUGAGGAUCUUCAGCAAACCUCAGGUUCCUAGACAAGCAAACAAACACCGGAGCUCCGGUCGUGGCGCAGUGGUUAACGAAUCCGACUGGGAACCAUGAGGUUGCGGGUUCGAUCCCUGCCCUUGCUCAGUGGGUUAAGGAUCCGGCGUUGCCGUGAGCUGUGGUGUAGGUCGCAGACGCGGCUCGGAUCCCGCGUUGCUGUGGCUCUGGCCUAGGCUGGUGGCUGCAGCUCCGAUUCGACCCCUAACCUGGGAACCUCCAUGUGCCGAAGGAGCGGCCCAAGAAACAGCAAAAAGACAAAAAAAAAGAAGAGGAAGAAAGUGGAGCCUCGGACCUUUGAAGGAGAGGCUCCCUCCCACCGCACAGCAAGAAGGCACUGUCUGCGAGCCUGGAAAAGGGCCCUCAGCAGAGGGCGGCCCUGCCGGCACCCUGAACGUGGACUUCCAGGCUCCAGAGCUGGGAGGAGCGACCACAGUGGUUUCAGCCGCCCCGUCGGUGGUGUUCAGCUCCAGCAGCCCAGGCUCAGACGCCACAUCACGGCAUUAGGGUGAUUCCUCUUCUCCCGAGUGUCCGGUGUCUCGUUGAAGGAGAACCGCAACCUCGAACCUUUCACCUCUUUGCCCUUCGGUGGGUGCUCUUCAUGAGCAGCCACUUCAGCAAACACACACAGGCAGACCCCCGGCGGGCGGACCUGCGCGCGUCCCCAGUCACGGUGGCACUGCCAACCUAGGUGGCGGCAGAGAGCGCCCCCAGCCCGCCGAGCGAGAGCAGCACGGGGGGUGGGAUGGGGGGGGUGGGGGUUGUGGGGGUGAGCCCCCGUGUCGCUGCAGCAGUUUUCAGCCGUGGGGCUUGCCGUCGGAAGCUCAGGGCCGCUGGCUGGGAGGCACGUCGGAGGACCGCAGCCCCAGGCCACUCCCGAUUCAGGCUGGCAGGUAGCGCCGGCCGGGGUGGGGUCGCGAGCGCGGACCCAGACGCGCGGGGCGACGCGUCCCUCCUCCGCAGCCGACUCCGCCCGCGCCCAUCAGUCGCGCUGACAAGGGGACCGGCGGCAGGAGCGCUCAAAGCGCAGACCCGCGCGCCCCCUGCCUUCCGCUCACCCCGCCAGCGGCCGUCACCCCGACCCCGAGACCCCCGGGACCCUGAGUUCCGAGACCCUGGGCCCCCUAAGGCUCCCGGGGUCCCCCGAGCCUUCCAAACACCUCUGACCACCCCCUCGACACUCGCAGGCUCCCGGGACCCCCGGGACCCCCCGAGCCGGGCCAGACAGGGCUCGCGGCCGGGCCUUGAGCCCAACAGCCGCCGGCGGCAGCACAGGCCUCCAGGGAGGCCUCUCAGGACCCGCUCCUUUAGCGGCAGGAAGGAGCUUCGGCGCCGCCUCUCCCCACCGAACGUG